rfam:Camelus ferus unplaced genomic scaffold scaffold1140, whole genome shotgun sequence.
GAGGGUAUUGCUGAAGUGGUAGAGCGCAUGCUCAGCAUGUGUGAGGUCCUGGGUUCAAUCCCCAGUACCUCCA